rnacentral:rRNA from 1 species
UGGAAGCGUCUGGAAAGGCGCGCGAUACAGGGUGACAGCCCCGUACACAAAAAUGCACAUAUUGUGAGCUCGAUGAGUAGGGCGGGACACGUGGUAUCCUGUCUGAAUAUGGGGGGCCCAUCCUCCAAGGCUAAAUACUCCUGACUGACCGAUAGUGAACCAGUACCGUGAGGGAAAGGCGAAAAGAACCCCGGCGAGGGGAGUGAAAAAGAACCUGAAACCGUGUACGUACAAGCAGUGGGAGCACGCUUAGGCGUGUGACUGCGUACCUUUUGUAUAAUGGGUCAGCGACUUAUAUUCUGUAGCAAGGUUAACCGAAUAGGGGAGCCGAAGGGAAACCGAGUCUUAACUGGGCGUUAAGUUGCAGGGUAUAGACCCGAAACCCGGUGAUCUAGCCAUGGGCAGGUUGAAGGUUGGGUAACACUAACUGGAGGACCGAACCGACUAAUGUUGAAAAAUUAGCGGAUGACUUGUGGCUGGGGGUGAAAGGCCAAUCAAACCGGGAGAUAGCUGGUUCUCCCCGAAAGCUAUUUAGGUAGCGCCUCGUGAAUUCAUCUCCGGGGGUAGAGCACUGUUUCGGCAAGGGGGUCAUCCCGACUUACCAACCCGAUGCAAACUGCGAAUACCGGAGAAUGUUAUCACGGGAGACACACGGCGGGUGCUAACGUCCGUCGUGAAGAGGGAAACAACCCAGACCGCCAGCUAAGGUCCC